UACGUAGGGUGCGAGCGUUAAUCGGAAUUACUGGGCGUAAAGCGUGCGCAGGCGGUGUGGUAAGCCGGGGGGGAAAUCCCCGGGCUUAACCUGGGAACUGCAUUUGUGACUGCAUCGCUGGAGUGCGGCAGAGGGGGAUGGAAUUCCGCGUGUAGCAGUGAAAUGCGUAGAUAUGCGGAGGAACACCGAUGGCGAAGGCAAUCCCCUGGGCCUGCACUGACGCUCAUGCACGAAAGCGUGGGGAGCAAACAGG
rnacentral:rRNA from 1 species